AGAAAAGGAAGGCCGCUACAGCUGCCAGUGUUUCGCCAAACGUGAAUGGUCUGCUGUCAGCCAGACCCUGGAUUUGGUGGUGAGAGAUUACACCUGGUCCAACGGGAGUGGGAGGGGAAGAGCUGGCCCCAGACAGCAGCCAAGAAAAGCAGCAACUGGAUUUUCAGGAUCUUCUCAAAUGCGCUAUUAGCCACUACUCUUAAGAUGCUAAUUGGAGUAUGCCUUUCUCAGAGGGAGGUGUGGCUUGCUGAUUAGCUAGAAGAAGAUGCAGAUAUCCAGAGCCCUGGGGAGAACACAGACAACCAAGGCAUUAGUUCAUGCUCCCUGCUCGAACUCCUGGACUUUAUUCCCACAGAUGACCGACAAACACAGGUGUCCAGGUUUGCACUCACCCUACCCUUCUCUUUCCACUGGACAGUUGGUCCACAAAUGGCAGAAGCAGCCAAACAUCCAGGACAUAAGGAACCUACUCACUGCAAGCUGGAGGACGACCCAGGUGUUCAGGACUCCCUCAGCCCCCACUUUCCUCAUACCCAUGGGAGGACAAAUGCAUGCGGGGUCAAAGCACCCUCAUCCUGCUCUAACCUCAAGGUUCCCACCCAGCUGGCAGAAGAACCUAGAGCCCAGGGCACAGGGCCCCACAGAGGAAUCUUGUGAUGGGUCCCAUGGAGGAGCCCAGCUGCCAUGCUCCCACACCAGCCUCCAUUGGAAGCCACAGCCUUGGUGCCUGUCCUGCUUAUAGAGUUCUUGUGCCACUGAGGCAGAGGGCCCUGCUGAGUGGCAGCACUGCAUCUUCCUAAUUGGAGCCACCCCUCAUUUCUAUGGUCUCCUGAAGCUCACAGACAUCCUGCCCACUGAUGUCACAUCUGGCCUCAGCCCCUUCUUCCACCCUAUUUCACCACAGGGGAGACCACAGACAAGAGAGACAGGAGCCACAUGCUCAGUCUUCCCAGCCUUGAAGGCACAUAAGCCUCUAUCUUCAAAGGUCAAAAGUCAGGGCACCUGACAGGGAGCCUUCAGCACUGAGCAAUGGCAUCGUCAUCGUGUAGUCUUGGCCCAAUUAGAUGAUCUGGUCACCCCAGGAACUGCCCUUU